rnacentral:rRNA from 1 species
CCCUUAGAUGUUCUGGGCUGCACGCGUGUUACAAUCGGGAGUACAACAAGAUUGCAAAUCCUAGUGGAUGAGUGGUUCUUCGAAAUUUUCUGAAGACUGGGAUAGUUGAUUGAAAUUAUUCAACUCGAACGAGGAAUUCCUUGUAAUUGUAAUUCAUUAUAUUGUAAUGAAUACGUCCCUGCCCGUUGUACACACCGCCCGUCGCUCCUACCGAUUGGGUGAUCCGGUGAAUAAUUCGGACUGCGGCAUUGACCGGUUCCCGAUCGUUGCUGCGGAAAGUUUAGUGAACCUUAUCACUUAGAGGAAGGAGAAGUCGUAACA